UGCUGACUGAAGCCAGAGAAAAAAAUAGACCUGAAUUUCUUCAGGGUUGGCAGACUGCUGUUACGAAGUGUAUUCCACAACAGAAAAACGACAGUGACUGUGGAGUCUUUGUGCUCCAGUACUGCAAGUGCCUCGCCUUAGAGCAGCCUUUCCAGUUUUCACAAGAAGACAUGCCCCGAGUGCGGAAGAGGAUUUACAAGGAGCUAUGUGGCUGGAGAGAAGAGGGAAGGUAAUAGAGACAACUUAGUCCCAUGGGAGCGCAGCAACCGUGUCAGGUUCUUUCUCCUGUCCCAUUAGUGACCUCAGUAACAUGCAGGGUACGUCUGGCUUCUGCAUGGCCAGUGCUGACACUAGCACAGCUGUUCUUCUCCUUCUGUUGAACCUCAUCUUCUGAAGAAAGGCCAAGUGGCCCUUGUCCAUACACUUAGCUGCAUUAGGAUGAAUAUCACGCGUCUCACAUCUUUAAUCCAGCCUUUCGUGACAUGUUGGAAAGAUACAUGUGAAACCUACCCAGUUACCCUUUCUGAAUUGGGAGGAAAACCAACCAAUGUAUGUAUGAGAAACUCAGAAGUCUGAAUAGAAAAACAAAGUAAAUGGCAGAAGAUUCUCGAGUUUAUGCCCG
rnacentral:lncRNA from 1 species